ACGGAAGGCAGCAGUGAGGAAUAUUGGUCAAUGGGCGGAAGCCUGAACCAGCCAUGCCGCGUGAAGGAAUAAGGCCCUAUGGGUCGUAAACUUCUUUUGACGGGGAGCAAUAAGGCGUACGUGUACGCCGAUGAGAGUACUCGUCGAAUAAGCAUCGGCUAACUCCGUGCCAGCAGCCGCGGUAAUACGGAGGAUGCAAGCGUUAUCCGGAUUUAUUGGGUUUAAAGGGUGCGUAGGCUGUGUGUCAAGUCAGGGGUGAAAUACCGGGGCUCAACCGUGGAACUGCCUUUGAUACUGACAUGCUUGAAUACUGUUGCCGUGGGAGGAAUGAGUAGUGUAGCGGUGAAAUGCAUAGAUAUUACUCAGAACACCGAUUGCGAAGGCAUCUCACGAAGCAGGGAUUGACGCUGAGGCACGAAAGCGUGGGGAUCAAACAGGAUUAGAUACCCUGGUA
rnacentral:rRNA from 1 species